AACGAACGCUGGCGGCAUGCCUAACACAUGCAAGUCGAACGCCCCGCAAGGGGAGUGGCGAACGGGUGAGUAACGCGUGGGAACCUACCCAGCAGUUGGGGAUAACCGCGGGAAACUGCGGCUAAUACCGAAUACGUCCUAAGGGAGAAAGAUUUAUCGCUGUUGGAGGGGCCCGCGUCGGAUUAGCUAGGUGGUGAGGUAACGGCUCUCCAAGGCGACGAUCCGUAGCUGGUCUGAGAGGAUGAUCAGCCACACUGGGACUUAGACACGGCCCAGACUCCUACGGGAGGCAGCAGUGGGGAAUAUUGGACAAUGGGGGCAACCCUGAUCCAGCAAUGCCGCGUGAGUGAUGAAGGCCUUAGGGUUGUAAAGCUCUUUUACCGGGGACGAUGAUGACGGUACCCGGAGAAUAAGCCCCGGCUAACUUCGUGCCAGCCGCCGCAGUAA
rnacentral:rRNA from 1 species